AAUGAACGCUGGCGGCAGGCCUAACACAUGCAAGUCGAACGGAUCCUUCGGGAUUAGUGGCGGACGGGUGAGUAACGCGUGGGAACAUACCCUUUGGUACGGAAUAGCCUCGGGAAACUGGGAGUAAUACCGUAUGUGGUCGAGAGACGAAAGAUUUAUCGCCAAAGGAUUGGCCCGCGUUGGAUUAGGUAGUUGGUGGGGUAAUGGCCUACCAAGCCGACGAUCCAUAGCUGGUUUGAGAGGAUGGUCAGCCACACUGGGACUGAGACACGGCCCAGACUCCUACGGGAGGCAGCAGUGGGGAAGCUUAGACAAUGGGGGAAACCCUGAUCUAGCCAUGCCGCGUGAUCGAUGAAGGCCUUAGGGUUGUAAAGAUCUUUCAGGUGGGAAGAUAAUGACUGUACCACCAGAAGAAGCCCCGGCUAACUCCGUGCCAGCAGCCGCCGUAA
rnacentral:rRNA from 1 species